CAUGCAGGUGCCACUAUGUAACCCCCCUCAGUCAAAGCUGGCUGAAUCAGACCUCACCUUGCCACAAAGCAGCCACCUCACCUAGGGCCCCUUUCCUCUCUUCCAGAGACCUGGUUUGUGUGUAGCUGCUGACAGCUGCAACAGUUGGCCCCCAACGUGUGGCUUAGAAAUGAGGGGAUGAAAAGAGGGCAGCACUGUCUUGAUGGAGUGCCACAGGAAACAGAAGAAAAAAGAUGGUAUCCGGCACAGGCUUUCAAGUUACCUUAACAUGAAAGGCAACAAAAACUAAGUUCCUGAUAGGAGCAAAACCCUCCAGAGCUGCUUCACCUGCCUCCAGAACCAAGCAUCAAGAUGCUAAUUUGGCUGAUUGGGAGAAGGGGAUUCCCUGCCUGCUUGAUUCACAGAUUCAUAAUACACAUCAGACCUUGAUCAGAAA